rnacentral:lncRNA from 1 species
AACAAACAUGAUAAUCUAUGACUCCACACGGCAUCAUUUUCGUCGAGCUAUACAGGUGAAACCAAGAGCGUGAGACUGGAUGCUACAAGCUAAGCUCAUUUACGAAAGGCCUCGACAAGAAUGCCACCCCGAGUCGAACACUGGGCAAAUUGGCAUAUAUACUAAAAGAAUGGAAGAUCUGUAUGAAGCAAGUCCGGACUCUGGCAUUGCUAAACGAAUUCGGGAUUUCCUAAUCUGCUCCAACUUUUGUUGUAGGCAACACAACACCACUCGAACUUCAACAAAACAGUA